rnacentral:rRNA from 1 species
GACAGAGGAGGCAAGCGUUGUUCGGAAUCACUGGGCUUAAAGCGCGCGCGGGCGGCCCGUUAAGCGUCUUGUGAAAUCCCACGGCUCAACCGUGGAACUGCAGGGCGAACUGUCGGGCUUGAGGUCGGUAGAGGUGCCUGGAACUCUAGGUGGAGCGGUGAAAUGCGUAGAUAUCUAGAGGAACGCCAGAGGCGAAAGCGGGGCACUGGGCCGAUUCUGACGAUGAGGCGCGAAAGCGUGGGGAGCAAACAGG